AGUGAACGCUGGCGGUAGGCCUAACACAUGCAAGUCGAACGGCAGCACAGUAAGAGCUUGCUCUUACGGGUGGCGAGUGGCGGACGGGUGAGGCAUACAUCGGAAUCUACUUUUUCGUGGGGGAUAACGUAGGGAAACUUACGCUAAUACCGCAUACGUCCUACGGGUGAAAGCAGGGGAUCUUCGGACCUUGCGCGAUUGAACGAGCCGAUGUCGGAUUAGCUAGUUGGCGGGGUAAAGGCCCACCAAGGCGACGAUCCGUAGCUGGUCUGAGAGGAUGAUCAGCCACACUGGAACUGAGACACGGUCCAGACUCCUACGGGAGGCAGCAGUGGGGAAUAUUGGACAAUGGGCGCAAGCCUGAUCCAGCCAUACCGCGUGGGUGAAGAAGGCCUUCGGGUUGUAAAGCCCUUUUGUUGGGAAAGAAAAGCAGCAGGUUAAUACCCCGCUGUUCUGACGGUACCCAAAGAAUAAGCACCGGCUAACUUCGUG
rnacentral:rRNA from 1 species